rnacentral:rRNA from 1 species
GGCCUAACACAUGCAAGUCGAACGGGUGUAGCAAUACAUCAGUGGCAGACGGGUGGGUAACACGUGGGAACCUUCCUCGUUGUACGGAACAACUCAGGGAAACUUGAGCUAAUACCGUAUACGUCCGAGAGGAGAAAGAUUUAUCGCAAUGAGACGGGCCCGCGUCGGAUUAGCUAGUUGGUGGGGUAACGGCCUACCAAGGCGACGAUCCGUAGCUGAUCUGAGAGGAUGAUCAGCCACACUGGGACUGAGACACGGCCCAGACUCCUACGGGAGGCAGCAGUGGGGAAUAUUGCACAAUGGGCGAAAGCCUGAUGCAGCGACGCCGCGUGAGGGAUGACGGCCUUCGGGUUGUAAACCUCUUUCAGUAGGGAAGAAGCGAAAGUGACGGUACCUGCAGAAGAAGCGCCGGCUAACUACGUGCCAGCAGCCGCGGUAAUACGUAGGGCG